rnacentral:snRNA from 1 species
GCGCCCGCUUUAGCAGCACAAAUACUAAAACUGGAAGGACACAGAAAAUUGGCAUGGGCCUGCACAAGGAUGACGUACAAACCCGUGAAGCAUUCCAUAUUGCA